rnacentral:rRNA from 1 species
UACGUAGGGUGCGAGCGUUAAUCGGAAUUACUGGGCGUAAAGCGUGCGCAGGCGGUUUUGUAAGUCAGAUGUGAAAUCCCCGGGCUUAACCUGGGAAUGGCAUUUGGGACUGCAAGGCUGGAGUGCGGCAGAGGAGAGUGGAAUUCCUGGUGUAGCAGUGAAAUGCGUAGAUAUCAGGAGGAAUACCGAUGGCGAAGGCAGGUCUCUGGGCUGACACUGACGCUCAUGCACGAAAGCGUGGGGAGCAAACAGG